UCCACAUAGGUAGCAGGCCCACUACCGAAUCAAAAAGCCACGCGUGCAAGUUUCACCACCCCGACAAAAAAAGCCCUUAUUAUAACGCCUCUGCAAAAAUCGAAUCAGCAACUAGUUUUGCCCUUCUCCGCCGCGCGCAUCCGUUACAAACGGCGGCGCUAAUUUAACCGCACACUAAGAAGCUUCUAGAAAUGCCGAAGAAGAGCAAAGGGAAUCCAAGCAACCACGACGGAGACGAACGGGAGAUCUUCGUCGUAUCAUCAUCCAGUACCGAAUCACAAAGCGCCGACGCCGUACACAAGUAUGUAAGCGAUACGGACGAAGAAAACGACGUCGUGCGGAAUGUUGACAAGGAGUAUGUAAGCGAUACUGAUGAAGAAGAAGAAGAAGAAAAAGCGGUGGAAGUAGAGAAGAAGGUUUAUAGGAGGAAGGGGAAGAAAGGAGACGAAACCGAAGCGAAAAAGGCGAAGAAAACAGUGGAUAGUAGUGAGAGUGAAAACCUAAAAACGUAUAUGAGAAAGAAGAAGAUCAAAAAUGGAGAGGAGGUUGAAAAUGUCGCUGCGAAAAGCAGCAAAAAGGAGAAAAUUAUGAAGGAGAAGAAUGAAAAAGAUUCCGGGAAAACAGUGUUUGGUAAGAAGGAAAAAACAGGUAAAACGGCGAAGAACAAUGGAGAUUCUAGUCGUGGAGGCAAAAAUGAAAAGAAUAAUAAGAAGAAGGAUGAGAGGAAGGAAGCAGAUGGAGAAAGAAAAGUAGCAAAAAAGGCGAAAAGCAAUGGAGGUGAAAAUGAGAAAGAUGAGAACAAGAAGAAGAAGAAGAAAAGAGUAGAAGAAGGAGGAGGAGGAGAAUCAACAAAAAAGGCGAAAAGCAAUGGUGUUUUGAGUCCAUUGAAAAAAGAAGAGAAAAACAUGAAGAAGACACAGAAUAAGAAUCAAAAUGGUGGUUCUAGUAAUGGAGGUGAAAAUGAGAAGGAUGAGAACAACAAGAAGAAGAAAAGGGAAGAAGAAGGAGGAAAAUCAGCAAAAAAGGCUAAGAGCAAUGGUGUUUCGAGUCCGUUGAAAAAAGAAGAGAAAAAGAUGAACAAGACACAAAAUAAGAAGGAAGGAGAUAAAGAGGCUGAAGAAAAGCUAGUGAAAAAGUCAAAUAGUAAUGGAGUUGCAAGUCCAGCUACAAAGGGGAAGAUGAAAAAGGAGGGCAAAACAAAUAAUGGGAAGGUGAAAAAUGAAGCAAGGACCAAUGGUACCCCCAAAAAAAACGAGGAGAAGAAAUUAAAGGCAAAGAAGAAAAGGGAGGAUGAUGAUGAAGAGGAGGAGGAAGAUGAGAAGAGUGAGAGUACUCUUUAUCAAUUUCCCCAUAAUCGGAUCCAUCGUAUGAUAAAGGAUGAAAAUCCUGAUAUUAGGAUGUCGAACGAAGCAACCUUUGUUAUUAACAAAGCUACGGAGAAAUUUCUUGAAGUAUUUUGCAGGGAAGCUUAUGCUUGUUCUUUUCUGGAUCGCAACAAUUAUGUUGGAUACAACCAUUUGUUCAUUGAAGUUUCUCCUGAACUGAAGGUUCCAUCCAUGAGUGUCCCACAUCUCAGCUACUUUCUUGUGUUGGCUUACUGCCAGCCCAUGAAUGUCAGGAAAUAAUUCCUAAUGGAGGACUCAUAUUAGGUUAGAAGCUUCAGUUGUUUCCAAAAGACCCAGAUUUGACUUUCUUUCAGAUUUUGUUCCCCAGAAAGUGAGAGCGGAAGAUGCUUUGGCUGAAAUCCCCAAGGUUGAGGAGACGUGAUUAAUCCAGAGUUGAUGCCUUAAUACAAUUUUUUGUUGUUCUUACAAGACAACCACUUUUUGCACCAGCUAUUGAGGGCAGUGACAUAGUUUUCAGAUUUGCUUCAUUUGAAUUAGCGUGUUCGUAUUAAAUAGAGGAUAUAGGGAGAGAAGGUUAGGGAAGGGGAAAAAAACCUGGGGUUUAGGGGUGGUAAAUGGGGCAGUCUUGUUCUAAUCAAAUUGGUUUCCUAUUUGUGCAGCUUAUGUCUGUAAAUAAACAUGUACUUCCUGUGAACUAUUGAACGUUUAGCUAGACUUAAAUGAUAGUAGUUGACAAGUUCUGAUCAGUUAA